rnacentral:rRNA from 1 species
UACAGAGGUGGCAAGCGUUGUUCGGAAUUACUGGGCGUAAAGGGCGCGUAGGCGGUCUUGCAAGUCCUGUGUGAAAUCCCUCGGCUCAACUGAGGAACUGCACAGGAAACUGCUUGGCUUGAGUUCGGGAGAGGGAAGCGGAAUUCCGGGUGUAGCGGUGAAAUGCGUAGAUAUCAGGAAGAACACCAACGGCGAAGGCAGCUCGCUAGGACGGUACUGACGCUGAGACGCGAAAGCGUGGGGAGCGAACAGG